GUUUGAAUGCUUUUUUCUUAUGAUUACAAUAUUAUCCAUGUGUCUGUUAGUCUUUAUCCAUUGUUCGCUUGUCGCAGUUGGGAUGAGACAAUUUCUGUUUUAUCAAAAAUACUGCACUUUUAAACUAGAGAAAAUAUGACUUUAUUUAUCACUUCUAUGUAAAUCAGAUGAAACUUCCAAUAUCGUCGGAGCUUACGCCCCCUUAGAUAUAAGAAGCUUUCAUAUAAUACAUCAUCAAAUUAUAAUUCUUUGAACUGCAUGUAGUCUAUGGUUGCUUGAAGAUAUCUAAAUUUCAAAUCUUUAAUUUUAAUGAUUUUUAACCGGAUUUUUAAAGGAAACUCGGUUAUUGAUGGGGGGAUGUACGACAGGCGGGUGUGACGGGUGGACAUUCGUUUGCCUGCAAAACAGUGUCCGUCUAUUAACAUGAAAACGCUAUGUCAAAAACUAAUAAAUUUGGAGAUGUUGCUUCGACAUGUUCGAC
rnacentral:lncRNA from 1 species